CAACCCCUUAUAUAGUGUCAGGCGUGGCUGGCUGUUGCCAGGCAACUGCGGGGGUGGAGCUUAGACAGAAUACCGACAACUACUGUAGAGAAUCAUCUGGCCAUCUUGGCAAAGAGAAACGAUCUGAGCAGAAACUACUUUUACCAAACAGUAAAGAUAUUUGCCAACUGGCCAAAGCCCAGGGAACGAAGGGCCUGACCAGCAUAGGGACGUCUAUCAGGAGAUCCUCCCUCUGCAACAAGACUCCAUAUCACCUCUGCCUUCCGAGGCUUGCAGAGGAAGUGGCUUUGCUUCCACACAGAGGUAGUACUAGGAAACUGGCCUGGACACGUUAGCCAUGAAAAUCUGCCUUUCAGUAAAAACUUCUCAUUAUUUAAAUGAUUUCACGUUUUUCAAGCUUCUGGCUGAGUACUUAUCUGUCACCCACGUCACCCACAAAGCCCGGGAUGAUCGACAGCAUUACAGAUUGAGGUUGGGAGGCUGCUAGUCUCACAGUUUAAGAAGAGAAAGGAAAAGAAAUUCAAAGGAAGGCCAAAGAGAUCGAGGAAACGGUAACCAAAAAAUAAGAAUUCAACAAGACCAGCUGGACGCAUGUGAUUGCUUUUAUGAUCCAUUUUGGCAAAACAAGAGGAGAAGGACAGGAGAAAGUGCAGAAGAAGAAAGGGCAAUGUGGUGAUGUGAUUCUGGAGAAAGAGAGGGGUUGAAGUGAUCUAGUCACAAAUCUAGGGAUGUGGGUAACCCUCAACCUGAUAAGAACUCAGAUAAGACAGCAAAAUAGAACCGAGGCCAGGGUGGUGGCCGCUUCCCUGGAACAGGUGACAAUGUUCCCACCACCUCCUUCUGAGAAACCUCAUCAGGCAAGGCUUUCAUUAGAGCAUGGUGACCUUAUGACUAGAUACGAUUUGCUGAGGAUUUAGGGACUUGGGGUUGGCUCAAAUACUAUAGAUAAGCAUAUGCACUUUGCAAUAAAUUCAGGUCUGCACCCUGAUGCUAGUCCCUGGAGUCUGAUUCCUGGGAUUCAUCACAUGAUUCCAUCACCUCUCGCUCCCCACCCUGGACCCUGUUCCCACACCCCUCUGCCACUGUGCCUGGCUGAGUCACUGUCACUUCUCAUUUUAAGUUACCAAAUCAGCCUCCCGACUCCUCUCUGCAUCCUCCCCUCUUACAGACCACAGGAUCUACCCCGUGGCCCCUUUCUCACCCAAUGCAAAAUCUGAAGUUUUUGUGAUGACUUCAGACCUCUUUGAGGCUGGGCCCCUGUUGCUCCACACUUUAUCUCCUUUUCUGCAAUAUCUGUCAUUCCUCUUAGUCACCCUGGCUGCUUUCCUGUUCUGAAUACUCUAAGGAGACUCUUGUUUUCGGGCUCCGUACUUGUUAUUCUCUCAGACAGACAUCUUGUUCCCUCACCUCUGUCAACUAUUCUUUUUAAAUGUUAACUUCUCCGUGAGAUUUCCCUGGCCAACUUAUCUCAAGCCUGUACCUUCAAUCUGUUCUCUCACCUCCUGAUGUACUCCUGCUUUGGUUUUCUUACUCGUAUUUAUAACUAUGGCUUUUACUUAUUUAUUGUGUUGGACCCCGUUCUCUGAGACUUCCGUGAGGAUGUGGAUUUUCACUAUUUUGAUCUAGGAUCAUAUUCCCAACACCUGAAGCAGUACCCAGCAUAGAGCAACUGCUCAAGACAAAUCCGUGUGUAAUGACUGUCAGAAUGCACAUCCUAGUGGCGUUUUAGGCUAAGGAGGGUAGAGAAAUUCAUACCACUUUCACCAGAGACCUGUGCAUCUCAUAUAUAACUUUUAAUUAAGAGUCACACAUGUUGUUGCUGGUGACUCAUACCUGUAACCAAGGUCUUGAGGCUGAGACAGGAGGAUUAUGGAGAAUGUGAGGCUAGCCUAAUGUGGUGGUUUGAAUGAGAAUAACCCCUUGUCAACUCCUCUGUUUGAAUACUUGACACCUAGUUAGUGGAACCAUUUGGCAAGGAUUAGGAGGUGUGGCCGUUGGAGAAGCUGUGUCCCUGGGGGUGGGGUCUAGGGUUUCAAAAUCCUAUGCCAUUCCCAGUGUGCUCUGCCUCCUGCUAGGAGAUUUUAGGUGUGAGCUCUCAACUCUUCCUGCCACCAUGCUGUCACUUCCUAGCACCACACAUCACUAUCAUGGUCUCUACCUAACCCUCUGAGAGUGCCAAUCCAAUUAAAUGUUUUAUUUUAUAACUUGCCUUAGUCAUGGUUAAGAGGGGGUUAAGUAGAGGAUCCUCUGGGGAAAAAAGAAUGAAAAUUCUUGAAUUUUCUCUGGCUUCAGACAUUUUUCCCUGAGAUGUUCAAUUCUUUCAUUUACAUGGAUUUUAGUUCUAUUGAAAUUCUCCUGCUAAUAUGA